AAUUAUCUCUAAUGGAGGAGAGUAAUCAAAAGGCUAGAUUAUAGAAAAUUUGUUACAAUAUAAUAUGCAUAUAACACCAAAAUUAUGACAAAAAAAAAAGUUUAAUCAAAUCAUGUUUGAUUGAGAAAAUUUAAAACUGAGACGCCCAUAUCAAAAGAUUUUUUUUUUUAAUUUUUAAAUUUCAUAGUUCUUUUCUUCCUUGUCGGAUUAUGAAUUUUUUUUAUUUUAUAUUUUUUAUAAUAAGAGUGGUGUUAUCGACACUUCUGUUUUUACUAUCUAAUUUUAAUAAUGAUUUUUAAAAGCUACGGUUUAAUUGUGGUCGAAAGAGUGUAUUUGCUCUUUAACACUCGGGUUCACAUUCACUUACCGAUAAUUAACUAGACAUGUUUGGAAAUAACUAAAAGCAUUGUUAGAUCAUUAAGACAAAUUAUUUUUGACAUUGUUUGAUAAUAAAAAAAGUUAAAAGUGUUGUUAAGUAAUAAAAAAUCAUUUCCAUGUGCUUCCAUCAAACAACAUUUCAAGUAUUUUUUUUAAAGAAAGUACUCACAUUUGUAUUAAUAAUAUCUUUAAUUUUUAAUAUUAGAAAGUUAGAAUAAGAGUUUAGUGUCUCAUAACUUUACAAAAAAAAAAAAAAUUGAACUAUAAAGCCCCUCAAACAACAAAAUCCACAACUAGCUGAAAAUAAUAGAAACAAAAUAGCAUGAAUACUUUUGUCAAAAACAAAAAAGAAAAAUAUGUUAAACAAAAAGAUAAUUAAAAAUUAGAAAAAAAGAAAAAGAAAAGAGAAGAUAAAAGCCCAUGACCCCCUUCUUCUCCCUCUUCGUCUCUCUACAUACACAAUUGCUCCCAUGUUUUCCUCACUACAACCGCUCCACUUCAGUUUUUAUUUAUUUAUUUAUUUAUAUUCAAGGACAGUUUCAUUAAAACCAGCCAAAUGACAUAGGUUUUGCAUCAGCUGAAGAUUUUGCUUCCUUGGAUAUCUAGCGGCAAGAAAUCGUCCAUACAUUUUGGUUUUUGAAGGCUUGAACCGUGUAAUGAGAGCAGACGUGCAUGAAAAUAAAAGCAAACGUGGGAUAUGAAGCAGUUUUGCGGGAGGAGAUGUGAAUAAAACACAAAAUAAAAGAAUCUGAAGAGAACAAAUUGAAUUGUUUUGCUGGAGCCUUGGGGAGAAGAUGAAAUUGGCAAAAAACCAACAAGAACUGGUCCCUUGACAAAGUCGGUAACACAAUUUCUGUUGUGGUUAAUUGAGUUUUAUUCCUCCUCCAUAAUUCUAAUUUCUCAGUUAUUAAUGUCUGUGUUUUAUUCAUACCGCACGUUUAAAGUGAGCAA